AUUCCAGCUCCAAUAGCGUAUAUUAAAGUUGUUGCAGUUAAAAAGCUCGUAGUUGGACUCCUGGGCCGUUUUGUUGGUCUGCCGCAAGGCUGCACUAGCGGGAUGGCCCAUCCUCUCGAAGGCUGGGGGUGCUCUUAACUGGGUGCUUUCAGAACUCGGGAUCUUUACUUUGAAAAAAUUAGAGUGUUCAAAGCAGGCUUACGCUUGAAUACAUUAGCAUGGAAUAAUGGAAUAGGACUUUGGUUCUAUUUUGUUGGUUUCUAGAACUGAAGUAAUGACUAAUAGGGAUAGUUGGGGGCAUUAGUAUUUAAUUGUCAGAGGUGAAAUUCUUGGAUCUAUGAAAGACUAACUUCUGCGAAAGCAUUUGCCAAGGAUGUUUUCAUUA
rnacentral:rRNA from 1 species